UACGGAGGGAGCUAGCGUUGUUCGGAAUUACUGGGCGUAAAGCGCACGUAGGCGGCUUUUUAAGUCAGGGGUGAAAUCCCGGGGCUCAACCCCGGAACUGCCCUUGAAACUGGGAAGCUAGAAUCUUGGAGAGGCGAAUGGAAUUCCGAGUGUAGAGGUGAAAUUCGUAGAUAUUCGGAAGAACACCAGUGGCGAAGGCGAGUCGCUGGACAAGUAUUGACGCUGAGGUGCGAAGGCGUGGGGAGCAAACAGC
rnacentral:rRNA from 1 species